rnacentral:rRNA from 1 species
AUGCCGCUGUGUGUCAUUGUAGCCGCCACCACACAGGUCCUCCGCGGCCUCCUCACCGUGCCGCCGCUGCCACAGCAGCCUCCUCGCCGCGCCGCGCACCUCCAUAGACCGACACACGGCCCGGAGCUUCACCGCGCAGCCGCCGGCGAACGCCGCCAUCGCCGGCACGCCUCCGGCAAGGGGCAACACCCAAGAUGA